ACUGAAUUCUUUUGAUGCCUAGAUGUAGUUUGUGACUAGAACUCUAGCACCAUUGGAAUUCAGUUU
rnacentral:pre_miRNA from 1 species